rnacentral:rRNA from 1 species
CCUACGGGGAGCAGCAGUGGGGAAUAUUGGACACUGGGCGAAAGCCUGAUCCAGCCAUGCCGCGUGUGUGAAGAAGGCCUUCGGGUUGUAAAGCACUUUCAGUGGGGAAGAAAGCCUUGGGGCUAAUACCCUCGAGGAAGGACAUCACCCACAGAAGAAGCACCGGCUAACUCCGUGCCAGCAGCCGCGGUAAUACGGAGGGUGCGAGCGUUAAUCGGAAUUACUGGGCGUAAAGCGCGCGUAGGCGGUCUGAUAAGCCGGUUGUGAAAGCCCCGGGCUCAACCUGGGAACGGCAUCCGGAACUGUCAGGCUAGAGUGCAGGAGAGGAAGGUAGAAUUCCCGGUGUAGCGGUGAAAUGCGUAGAGAUCGGGAGGAACACCAGUGGCGAAGGCGGCCUUCUGGACUGACACUGACGCUGAGGUGCGAAAGCGUGGGUAGCAAACAGGAUUAGAUACCCCGUAGUC